AGUGAACGCUGGCGGCAGGCCUAAUACAUGCAAGCCGAGCGCCCCGCAAGGGGAGCGGCAGACGGGUGAGUAACGCGUGGGAAUCUACCCAUCUCUACGGAAUAACGCAUGGAAACGUGUGCUAAUACCGUAUACGUCCUUCGGGAGAAAGAUUUAUCGGAGAUGGAUGAGCCCGCGUUGGAUUAGCUAGUUGGUGGGGUAAAGGCCUACCAAGGCGACGAUCCAUAGCUGGUCUGAGAGGAUGAUCAGCCACACUGGGACUGAGACACGGCCCAGACUCCUACGGGAGGCAGCAGUGGGGAAUAUUGGACAAUGGGCGCAAGCCUGAUCCAGCCAUGCCGCGUGAGUGAUGAAGGCCCUAGGGUUGUAAAGCUCUUUCACCGGUGAAGAUAAUGACGGUAACCGGAGAAGAAGCCCCGGCUAACUUCGUGCCAGCAGCCGCAGUAACAC
rnacentral:rRNA from 1 species